rnacentral:rRNA from 1 species
UUGGUUAAUAUUCCAAUACCAACAUUAGUGUGCGAUGGAAGGACGCUUAGGGCUAAGGGGGCUAGCGGAUGGAAGUGCUAGUCUAAGGUCGUAGGAGGUUGUACAGGCAAAUCCGUAUAACAAUACUCCGAGAACUGAAAGGCUUUUUGAAGUCUUCGGAUGGAUAGAAGAACCCCUGAUGCCGUCGAGCCAAGAAAAGUUUCUAAGUUUAGCUAAUGUUGCCCGUACCGUAAACCGACACAGGUGGGUGGGAUGAGUAUUCUAAGGCGCGUGGAAGAACUCUCUUUAAGGAACUCUGCAAAAUAGCACCGUAUCUUCGGUAUAAGGUGUGGUUAGCUUUGUAUUAGGAUUUACUCCGAAAGCAAGGAAACUUACAACAAAGAGUCCCUCCCGACUGUUUACCAAAAACACAGCACUCUGCUAACUCGUAAGAGGAUGUAUAGGGUGUGACGCCUGCCCGGUGCUCGAAGGUUAAUUGAUGGGGUUAGCAUUAGCGAAGCUCUUGAUCGAAGCCCGAGUAAACGGCGGCCGUAACUAUAACGGUCCUAAGGUAGCGAAAUUCCUUGUCGGUUAAAUACCGACCUGCAUGAAUGGCGUAACGAGAUGGGAGCUGUCUCAAAGAGGGAUCCAGUGAAAUUGUAGUGGAGGUGAAAAUUCCUCCUACCCGCGGCAAGACGGAAAGACCCCGUGGACCUUUACUACAGCUUGACACUGCUACUUGGAUAAGAAUGUGCAGGAUAGGUGGGAGGCUUUGAGUAUAUGACGCCAGUUGUAUAUGAGCCAUUGUUGAGAUACCACUCUUUCUUAUUUGGGUAGCUAACCAGCUUGAGUUAUCCUCAAGUGGGACAAUGUCUGGUGGGUAGUUUGACUGGGGCGGUCGCCUCCCAAAUAAUAACGGAGGCUUACAAAGGUUGGCUCAGAACGGUUGGAAAUCGUUCGUAGAGUAUAAAGGUAUAAGCCAGCUUAACUGCAAGACAUACAAGUCAAGCAGAGACGAAAGUCGGUCUUAGUGAUCCGGUGGUUCUGUGUGGAAGGGCCAUCGCUCAAAGGAUAAAAGGUACCCCGGGGAUAACAGGCUGAUCUCCCCCAAGAGCUCACAUCGACGGGGAGGUUUGGCACCUCGAUGUCGGCUCAUCGCAUCCUGGGGCUGGAGCAGGUCCCAAGGGUAUGGCUGUUCGCCAUUUAAAGCGGUACGCGAGCUGGGUUCAGAACGUCGUGAGACAGUUCGGUCCCUAUCUGCCGUGGGCGUAAGAAGAUUGAAGAGAUUUGACCCUAGUACGAGAGGACCGGGUUGAACAAACCACUGGUGUAGCUGUUGUUCUGCCAAGAGCAUCGCAGCGUAGCUAAGUUUGGAAAGGAUAAACGCUGAAAGCAUCUAAGCGUGAAGCCAACUCUAAGAUGAAUCUUCUCUAAGCUCUCUAGAAGACUACUAGUUUGAUAGGCUGGGUGUGUAAUGGAUGAAAGUCCUUUAGCUGACCAGUACUAAUAGAGCGUUUGGCUUAUCUUUAAUAAAGCAU